rnacentral:rRNA from 1 species
CUAGUAGAUGCAUCAUUCAUCCAAAAAAUCAAACGUACGAAAACAUACCUAAACUCUUAGAUCAUAUUCUACAGGCCUACGUCAACACAAUUAAACUCGUUACGGGCUAGUGAUGGGCGCCUGCCCGAAAACUCCCCCUUAUAAACAGUAUACGCCGACUACGAGAUUGUAGCAUGACGAGGAUCAAACGGGAUACGGCAGCGCACUUUCUUCUUGAUCAUACCUCUCCCUUUUGAUCUCUCUCAGGCACGCACUACGCUGUCUUCGUUGCUCUCCCUCUUAAAACGCACACACCUCGCCCCCUCGUCCCCUCGCGUAACGCAUGCCUCCUCCUCUCCUCCCGCGCAUGCCAUGCCUCGCCACCUACCAUAAAGCCCCAUUGCCGGCACAAGCGGCCCCGUCCCAGCGGUGAACGGCCCGGCGGCGCGCGGUGAGGCGGGCUUAUACAAUUACGGACAAAUCGGAGAGGGCGCGUGAUAUAUAGGAGAGUACUAGGAGUAGAGGCCGAUGUUAAUCAUCAUUGGCGAGGGGGCGUUAUGGACGGUAGAGAGGAGGAGGUGGUAGCUAGGUGAGACUGGAGACGAGCUGGUCUAGUUAGCUAGAAGGAGAAGAACCAGCCAAAGAAGUAGGAGACACUGCUUCCACGACAGCAGCAGCUAGCUAACUAAAUAACUAGCUAGCUCACGAGGUUGUUGACCAGUUAUCGACCCUAGUAUCCAGCAGACGAGUCAACGUAGCGGUAGCGGAAGUUAAGGUGAGCAAAAGUUCGAGGGCAGCGGGGGCAACUAGCCUAGUUUCCCUAACCCUAAUUGGAUUGGAUUGGAUUGGAGCGCUGGUUUAAGGGGAGGGGUGAACUGCAACCAGGUGGCCGACUAAGGAACACAGGCAGUGUUGUUUCCUAAAGAAGAAGAGACGUGGAGCAUAGAUAGGAUGUAUCGCGCAGGUGCGCCCGAGCCACCGCCAAGCGCAUGCACUAGGAGCCCUCUUAACUGUCAACACUAUCGCGCGCGCACCCGCACCCGCACCCGCUAGCUGCGCUGGCGCCGUCGUACCCCCGGCCGUUGGUGAGCGGCAGCAGGCGCUUCUGGAGUGGAGCGCCGAGACCGCAUCCGCCGCCUCCGCUCGUCAUAAGGGGCAGCUGGUUCAGAGGCGCGCGGCCGCGGCCGCCGCCUCCGCCUCCGCUCGUGAUGAGGCGCAGCUCGUUCAGGGGCGCGCGGCCGGAGCCGCCGCAGAGGAGGAACGACGGCUCGCCGCCGCACAGCAGGGACGACGGCUCGCCGCGGCACCGCUGCGACGAGCUCUCGUCCACCUGCGAGAGCCCGCGGUAGUGGCACAAGGACAAGGAGCGGCAGUGCGAGUGGCACUGCUGCAGCAGCAGCAGCGACAGGGGGCAGAGCCGGUGGAAGAAGAGGAAGGAGGGCCGGCCGGCGCGGCUGGAGCAGGUCGGCGGCGUUCAGGUCGUCGUCGGCGUCCGGGGCCGCUGGGGCGGCGGCGGAGGCGGGCCGCGGCCGCACGGCGCCGACCGCAUGGAGUAGAGGCCCAGGUUCCCGCUGGACCUGGCCGACACCGCGUGCGACGUGCGCGAGAUGGUGGGCGCGUUGGACAUGCACCACGUGGACCUGGCGCUCCGCGGGCACCCGCUCGCCGACCUCGACCGCCGCGCCCACCGGUUGUCGUGGCACAAGGCGGCGCAGCCGUUGCACCUCCACUAGGCCGCGCGGUUGUACCACUGGAUGGCGCCCGGCUGGUACCACCGGUUGUGGGACGUGCGGACGCGGCACGAGGAGGCGGCGUCGGCGCUGACCCUGACCAAGUAGUUGGAGAGGCGGAGGCUGAUGGGAGAGUACAGGGUCCUGCUACAGGACGUGCAUAAGAGCUGCGACGGCGCGUUGCAGUUGAAGCAGCUCGUGUGGUCGGCGGAGCCGACCUUCCUCCCCGUCGCGCCCGUCGGCGACUAGCACCUGGGCCCCGACAUGCGCAGCUUCUUCGUCCUGUAGAAGAUGCGCAGGCCGGCCGCCCUCGACGGCUGCCGCAAGUCCGACAUGUGCCCCAGCCGCACCCACCGCGACUGCGCCCUGAAGCGGCUCAUGCACCACACCCCCACCCUGUUGGACGGCGCGUGGUACGAGUACAUGAUGCGGUUGAAGCACAGCAGCGGCCUCCCGAUGAAGGUCUGCCACGAGACGUUGCGCGGGGCCAAGCACGGGUGGCACCGGUUGGUGCUGGAGGUGGUGUAGGUCACCCUGCACGGCGGCGCGGUCGUGGGCGUGCGCGAGUGCGAGCCCCUGUACCUGGCGUACCACGCGUCGCUGCGCGGGAAGCGGGCGUUCAAGCGCGCGCUGCUGGGGCACGAGCUGCGGUAGCUGCGGGUCGACGAACCGCCGGCGCCGCCCUUGCCGUGCCGCCGCCCCUACAAGCACGCCCCCCCGACCACGCCGCUCUCGCCCCUGACGCUCCCGCGGCGGCCGCGGCUCCUGACCCACGAGUCCGGCCCCGGGCCGCGGCUCUCCGACGCGUCCGAGUACCUGGCCUAGCAGUCCAGCCUCCGCAAGCGAUUGGCGGUCACGUUCAUCGAUUCGAGCCGAACUCUGUACCAGCCAGCACGCACGUUCGGUCACGAAUGAGACCAAACGACCACAUACCUGAGCCCUCCUCCUUUUACAAAAUUGAGUAGGUAGUUGGUAGGUACUCUACUCGAGUACGACAAGAAGAACAGUAUAAAGUAAUCUUAUCUUUCCACCAAAUUACACC